rnacentral:misc_RNA from 1 species
AAAAAAAAAAAGAAAAAGAUGAAGCCCACUUUACAUUGGGUCAUCUGCUUUAUUUCCUUCCGAACGAAGUAUAAAAAGGAAGGAAAAAAGAAAAAGAAAAAUAGAAUACAUAAUGGUGGAAUUUAAUUCCAUGUUACAAAAGUAUCCAAGCUUUACCCCCAUCCAUAUUGAACUUUUUAAGCCUUCCAAAAAACAUGACCACUAUGAGAAUAAUUUUCCCUUCAUCACUCCAUUUCCCAGAAAAUCCAUACCAUUUGUCCUUGCAGUUGCUAUCAGGUUGCAGUUGCCUUUUGCAGCUGUAUCCUGUUGUAAACCCCACAUUUCCAUAUGCACUGAUAACUUCCACCACAAUAUUCAAAGCAUUGAAAUUGAGAGGAUCUUCCUUCAUUUUUUUCCUUUCUGUGAUGCAAAUAAGGAUGAUAAAGAUGAUUAAAUAUGAAAGCUGUGAGAAAAUUAAAUCCUCCAGAAGCUUUCCCCUUCUUUUCUUGGGCCUUCCAGAUGUUUGUGGAUUAUCAUUUACGGGAAGGAAAGAUGUAUAUGGAGGAAGAUACAUCAUGACGAUGAAGAGCACCAGGAUGGCCGGGGAGACGAUUGAGAGGUCAACAAUAGUUUCACCUGUGUGUCUCGUGUUCACCACUUGAUACAAUACUCCCACGAUUUUCUGGAAAGAAUUCAAUCCACUUAAAGCAUCUGAAUUCCACUCCAUGGAGCAGAAUAAUAUAAACUGAAUCAGGAUAAAUCCAAACACUG